rnacentral:tRNA from 1 species
UGGCCGAGUGGUAAGGCGCUUGGCCUCCGAACCGGAAUGUCCCGGGUUCAAAUCCCGG